rnacentral:rRNA from 1 species
AGUGCGUAAUAGCUCACUGGUCGAGUGAUCCUGCGCCGAAGAUUUCCGGGGCUAAAACUUACUACCGAAGCUACGGCAUCAGUAAUGAUGGGUAGGGGAGCUUCCCAUACGGGUUGAAGCAUGACCGUAAGGACAUGUGGACAGUAUGGGAGUGAGAAGGUUGGCAUGAGUAGCGAGAUGUGGGUGAGAAUCCCACAGGCCGUAAACCCAAGGUUUCCAGGGGAAGGUUCGUCCGCCAUGGGUUAGUCGGGACCUAAGCUGAGGCCGAAAGGCGUAGGUGAUGGACAACAGGUUGAUAUUCCUGUACUACCGAUAACCGUUUGAGAGAAGGGAUGACACAGUAGGAUAAGCUAAGCACACUGUUG